rnacentral:rRNA from 1 species
GACGAACGCUGGCGGCGUGCUUAACACAUGCAAGUCGAACGGACAGGCCCUGCUUUUGUUCGUUGCUCGUUUGGCGCACGCGUGAGUAACACGUGUGUAUCCUCCCCUUGUCUUUCUGGUAACUUCUCGAAACUGCGGCUCAUAUCGCAUAGGAUCUCCUUCUGCAUUUUGUGCAUUGGUAAAUUUCGGUGGUUGGGGAUGGACUCGAGGCUUAUCAGCUUGUUUGUGUGGUAGUUGCUUACCAAGGGUUAGACGGGUAGCCGGCCUGCGAGGGGUACCGGCCACAUGGGGACUGAGAUAGGGCGCAGAAGCCUACGGGAGGCAGCAGGGGGGAAUAUUGCAGAAUGGGCGGAAGCCUGAUGCAGCAACGCCGCGUGCGGGAAGACGGGCUUCGGGUUGUAAACCGAUUUCGAAGGAGACGAAGCGUGAGUGACGGUAAUGGGUAAAGAAGCAACGGCUAACUACGUG